GGUCAAGCUACAAAGGGCGCAUGGUGAAUGCCUUGGCAUCAGGAGCCGAUGAAGGACGCGAUAAGCUGCGAUAAGCUUCGGGUAGACGCACAUAGUCAGAGAUCCGAAGAUUUCCGAAUGAGGAAACUCACAUGGGAAACCCCAUGUAUCAUAAAGUGAAUACAUAGCUUUAUGAAGGUAAACCCAGGGAACUGAAACAUCUAAGUACCUGGAGGAAGAGAAAGAAAAAUCGAUUUUCUUAGUAGCGGCGAGCGAAAAGGAAAGAGCCCAAACCAGAGAUUUAUCUCUGGGGUUGCGGACAGAACAUAACGAGAAAUCAUAGUUAACCGAACACAACUGGAAAGUUGGACCGCAGGGGGUAAUAGUCCCGUAAGUGAAAAUUAUGAUAAUCAGUUCUGCACCAGAGUACCACGAGACACGUGAAACCUUGUGGGAAGCAGGGAGGACCACCUCCCAAGGCUAAAUACUACCUGAUGACCGAUAGUGAAGCAGUACCGUGAGGGAAAGGUGAAAAGAACCCCGGGAGGGGAGUGAAAUAGAACCUGAAACCAUGUGCCUACAACCGAUCAAAGCACCUUAUGUGUGUGAUGAUGUGCUUUUUGUAGAACGAGCCAACGAGUUACGGUAUGUAGCGAGGUUAAGUACUUAAGGUACGGAGCCGAAGGGAAACCGAGUCUUAAUAGGGCGACUAGUUGCAUGCUGUAGACCCGAAACCGGGUGACCUAUCCAUGGCCAGGUUGAAGCGAGGGUAAAACCUCGUGGAGGACCGAACCACGUUGCUGUUGAAAAAGCAUGGGAUGAGCUGUGGAUAGCGGAGAAAUUCCAAUCGAACUCGGAUAUAGCUGGUUCUCCUCGAAAUAGCUUUAGGGCUAGCGUCGGAAAAUGUGAGUAGUGGAGGUAGAGCACUGAAUAGGCUAGGGGGCAUAGCGCUUACCGAACCUUAUCAAACUCCGAAUGCCAUAUACUAUCAGUCCGGCAGUCAGACUAUGAAAGAUAAGUUCCAUGGUCAAAAGGGAAACAGCCCAGAUCGUCAGCUAAGGUCCCAAAGUGUAAGUUAAGUGGAAAAGGAUGUGGGAUUUCUAAGACAACUAGGAUGUUGGCUUAGAAGCAGCCACUCAUUAAAAGAGUGCGUAAUAGCUCACUAGUCAAGAGAUCCUGCGCCGAAAAUGUCCGGGGCUCAAACUUACCACCGAAGCUACGGGUUCACAAUUUAUUGUGAGCGGUAGAGGAGCGUCGUAAUCGGGCUGAAGUCGUACCGAAAGGAGCGGUGGACUGAUUACGAGUGAGAAUGUUGGCAUUAGUAGCGAGAUGUAGGUGAGAAUCCUACAGGCCGAAUAUCUAAGGUUUCCUGAGUAAAGUUUGUCUUCUCAGGGUUAGUCGGGACCUAAGGCGAGGCCGAAAGGCGUAGUCGAUGGACAAUUGGUUGAUAUUCCAAUACCACUAUAAUCGUUAUUAUCGAUGGUGUGACGGAGAAGGAUAGGAUGUGCUAACUAUUGGAUGUUAGUCUAAGCGUUUAGGGAGUUAGGAUAGGCAAAUCCGUUCUAACAAUUCUGAGGCGUGAUGGGGAAGGUUCUACGGAACCGAAGUAUCUGAUUCCAUGCUUCCAAGAAAAGCAUCUAGAGAGAGAAGUAGUGCCCGUACCGCAAACCGACACAGGUAGAUGAGGAGAGAAUCCUAAGGCCGACGGAAGAAUUGCAGUUAAGGAACUAG
rnacentral:rRNA from 1 species